CGGAAUCUGCAUAAGAGGUGGGAGUGCUCUAAAGAGAACCGGCGCACAGGUGGUGCGUGGGUGUCGACAUCACGUGGCGUGAGAUGGUGGGUUAACUCCCGCCACGAGCGCCCCCCUUGUUCUUAUUUGCUACUUAAGAUCACUCUAAUGAGACUGCCGGUGACAAACCAGAGGAAGGUGGGGAUGACGACAUGUCAUCAUGGCCCUUAUGGGUAGGGCUUCACACCUCAUACAAUGGUCGGAACAAAAGGUUGCCAAUCCACGAGGGGGAGCUA
rnacentral:rRNA from 1 species